rnacentral:misc_RNA from 1 species
GGAGAGGGCGCAGUGAUCCCGCGACCAUCAAACCAACAACACCGUCCCGACACAAAACGGCGCAUCCUGCUGCGCCCCCUUCUUCUUCUUCUGUCGCUUCUGCCGCUUCUGCUUCUUCUUCUUCGUCGACACGUCCUGUUCCAUCGUAGUCGGCCACGGCGGCGUCGACCGAAGUCGGCUCACGCAUCCUGACUUUCUUGCCGCUUUCAUCCAAGCAAGGUGUCGAACACGAUCCUCCACGAUGGAUUCCAUGGAGGUAUCCGAGAGAUUCAUCUCCUGGACCUGCUGGACGAUGGAGUAUGGUUCUCCAAUACGGUGACCGUGGCUGGAAGAGGAUCCAGGAGACGUUCGAUCAUCUACCAUUGGAUCCACGGAACACGGAAUUCAUUGGCAGAUACCAGGUAGAACCAUGCGGUUCGUCGGCCCGGUACCAGGGUUCUCAUGAAUGGAGGAGGGUUCGCCAGGAUCGAUGAAGAGGGCGUGCCUUCAGGGGAGGAUUGGUAUCCGUGACGUUUUCAACCCCACCUGAGAAGGCCGCAAACGGAGUGCACGUGCUCGAUUACGUCAUAAGGAUAGCCGGGACUGGAGCGAGAGUAAAGUCAUUCAGUGAUCCUGUAUCGCUGCUCGUUCCACGGUCAUAAGACUCCACUUCCGGUUCUCACCGUAACUGUAAAUUAAUGUCAACUUUACGCUUUCCACGGGGCACCGCGGAGUAUCUCCGCCGCGAAUAAUGGACGUCUGUGCACGCGAAUUAGAAACGACGAUCGCGAAACCAAGCGUACGCAAGCUUUCGUUAUCGGAAAAGCGGUUCGAUUGCAACGGGGGUUGGGGAGGAUACGCCGUUAUACUCGGGAUUUGAGACGAGUUGGUAAUAACGUAGAUUAUUCGAUCGGUGGAGAGAAUAUUUUGUAUACUCGAUUAUUAUAGAGAAGCUUUUUUAAAAAGAAAAAUUGCAAUUUAGAUUAUUCGGUUGUUAUUAUAGAUUAUCGGAAUUAGUUUGUUCUUAAAUUUGUAAAUAUAGUGUAGAAAUAAUGUAGAGAUGAUCGAGUUUUAGGUCUGAGAAAUCUAGAUUAUUUGAUUAUUAUUAUUAUCAUAGAAAAUUUUUUCUUUGCAAAUGGGGAUGAUAAAAACACGAACGUAGAGAAACGUGCCAUAAUUUCGAACCGUAAAAUACUUUGAAUUCGGAGAACAUAUUUUACUCGAUCGUUAUAAUGAGCUUUUAUCUUGCAAAUGUGUGUAAUGAGGAUAGCAAUAUAGGAGGACGUAACUGAGCUUUAAAGGAUCAUGAAUUUCGGUUGUCGUAUAAAGCUUGAUCGUAAUAAAGUAUUUUUUCCUGUAAGUUUAUAGAUUAACAGCAGAAUUUUUAAACCUAAUUUAGAUAUCGCGAGGUUUCACGUUUUCAAGAAUAUAAUUUUAUAAAUAUCGUGCGAUAUUCAAGAGUAACCUCCAUCGUCCGAUAUCGACAGAUCUAUCUUUGCUCCUCGCCGAGAGUAGCGAUUAUUAAUGACGCGAGUCUCGGCAUCGUUGCAAGAACCAAUAACAUCUUAGAUACGUAGAUUUACGUAGAUUACGUAGAUAUUAGAACGACCAAACUACUUUACCUUAUAUUUUAUUAGAACGAAUGUUUUCGAUUGAUCAAGAACUGUAAUUAAGGUUUGAGAGUGUAUAUGUAACGCAUUUGUGAAAGCAAG